GAUGAACGCUGGCGGCGUGCCUAAUACAUGCAAGUCGAGCGAACAGACGAUAAGCUUUCUCCUCUAACGUUAGCGGCGGACGGGCGAGUAAGACGUGGAUAACCUACCUAUUUUACGGGGAGAACUUCGGGAGAACGGAGCCAAUACCGGAUAAUAUAUCGAACGGCAUGGUUCAAUAGAGAAAGACGGUUUUGCCGUCACUUUUAGAUGGAGCCGCGUUGCCUUAGCUAGUUGGUAAGGUAACGGCUUGCCAAGGCGACGAUGCGUAGCCGACCUGAGGGGGUGAUCGGCCACACUGGAACUGAGACACGGUCCAGACUCCUACGGGAGGCAGCAGUAGGGAAUCUUCCGCAAUGGGCGAAAGCCUGACGGAGCAACGCCGCGUGAGUGAUGAAGGUCUUCGGAUCGUAAAACUCUGUUAUUAGGGAAGAACAAAUGUGUAAGUAACUAUGCACGUCUUGACGGUACCUAAUCAGAAAGCCACGGCUAACUACGUG
rnacentral:rRNA from 1 species